rnacentral:lncRNA from 1 species
GCUUGUGAAACUAAUGGCUUACAUUUAUUUAUUUGGUGAUUUUGUUGAAAAAUAUCAUUAAGAUGAUGAUAAGUAAUUACAAAGAGUGAAGAGGAUGAAAAGAGUGAAUAAAAAACAAAAAUAGAAAAAGAAAAAAUUAGUGUAACAAAGCUUCCUAAUCCUUCAACGUACCAAUUAGUGAAACCCCAUAAAAGCACCACAAGCUUUGCAUUAAAUACAUGCUAACCUUAUGACGAAUCAAGUGAUGAGAU